AACGAACGCUGGCGGCAGGCCUAACACAUGCAAGUCGAGCGCACCCUUCGGGGCGAGCGGCGGACGGGUUAGUAACGCGUGGGAACGUACCCUUUUCUAUGGAAUAGCCUCGGGAAACUGAGAGUAAUACCAUAUAAGCCCUUCGGGGAAAGAUUUAUCGGGAAGGAUCGGCCCGCGUUAGAUUAGAUAGUUGGUGGGGUAAUGGCCUACCAAGUCUACGAUCUAUAGCUGGUUUUAGAGGAUGAUCAGCAACACUGGGACUGAGACACGGCCCAGACUCCUACGGGAGGCAGCAGUGGGGAAUCUUAGACAAUGGGCGCAAGCCUGAUCUAGCCAUGCCGCGUGUGUGAUGGAAGGUCUUAGGAUCGUAAAGCACUUUCGCCAGGGAUGAUAAUGACAGUACCUGGUAAAGAAACCCGGCUAACUCCGUG
rnacentral:rRNA from 1 species